GCCAGUGUGGUUUAAUGGUUUGAGCAUUGGACUAUGACUCUGGAGACCAGGGUUCGAAUCCCGACUCAGUCA
rnacentral:tRNA from 1 species